CCUGGUGGCGAGUGGCGAACGGGUGAGUAAUACAUCGGAACGUGUCCUGUAGUGGGGGAUAGCCCGGCGAAAGCCGGAUUAAUACCGCAUACGAUCUGUGGAUGAAAGCGGGGGAUCUUAGGACCUCGCGCUACARGGGCGGCCGAUGGCAGAUUAGCUAGUUGGUGGGGUAAAGGCCUACCAAGGCGACGAUCUGUAGCUGGUCUGAGAGGACGACCAGCCACACUGGGACUGAGACACGGCCCAGACUCCUACGGGAGGCAGCAGUGGGGAAUUUUGGACAAUGGGCGCAAGCCUGAUCCAGCAAUGCCGCGUGUGUGAAGAAGGCCUUCGGGUUGUAAAGCACUUUUGUCCGGAAAGAAAACCUCUGGGUUAAUACCCUGGGGGGAUGACGGUACCGGAAGAAUAAGCACCGGCUAACUACGUGCCAGCAGCCGCGGUAAUACGUAGGGUGCAAGCGUUAAUCGGAAUUACUGGGCGUAAAGCGUGCGCAGGCGGUUCGCUAAGACAGAUGUG
rnacentral:rRNA from 1 species